rnacentral:rRNA from 1 species
AACGAACGCUGGCGGCGUGCCUAACACAUGCAAGUCGAACGGGAUUAAGGGGCUUGCUCCUUAAUCUAGUGGCGCACGGGUGAGUAACGCGUGGAUAAUCUACCCGAUGAUCUGGGAUAACAUUUCGAAAGAGGUGCUUAUACCGGAUAAGCCCACGGGGUCUUCGGACUCUGCGGGAAAAGGGGGGGACCUUCGGGCCUUCUGUCAUCGGAUGAGUCCGCGUACCAUUAGCUAGUUGGCGGUGUAAGAGACCACCAAGGCGACGAUGGUUAGCUGGUCUGAGAGGAUGAUCAGCCACACUGGAACUGAGACACGGUCCAGACUCCUACGGGAGGCAGCAGUGGGGAAUUUUGCGCAAUGGGGGAAACCCUGACGCAGCAACGCCGCGUGAGUGAUGAAGGCCUUCGGGUCGUAAAGCUCUGUCAGAGGGAAAGAAAUGUAUUGUGGCUAAUAUCCACGAUGCUUGACGGUACCCUCAAAGGAAGCACCGGCUAACUCCGUGCCAGCCGCCGCAGUAACAC